UAUAUACUCCCUCCAUUUCAAAUUACUUGUCAUAGAAAUGGAUGUAUCUAGAACUAAAAUACAUCUAGAUACAUCCAUACCUGCGACAAGUAAUUUGAAACGGAGGGAGUACCUG
rnacentral:pre_miRNA from 1 species